rnacentral:rRNA from 1 species
UACGAAGGGGGCUAGCGUUGCUCGGAAUCACUGGGCGUAAAGCGCACGUAGGCGGAUCUUUAAGUCAGGGGUGAAAUCCCAAGGCUCAACCUUGGAACUGCCUUUGAUACUGGGGAUCUCGAGUCCGGAAGAGGUGAGUGGAACUGCGAGUGUAGAGGUGAAAUUCGUAGAUAUUCGGAAGAACACCAGUGGCGAAGGCGGCUCACUGGUCCGGUACUGACGCUGAGGUGCGAAAGCGUGGGGAGCAAACAGG